UACAGAGGGUGCAAGCGUUAAUCGGAAUUACUGGGCGUAAAGCGUGCGCAGGCGGUUGUGCAAGACCGAUGUGAAAUCCCCGGGCUCAACCUGGGAAUGGCAUUGGUGACUGUACGGCUAGAGUGUGUCAGAGGGGGGUAGAAUUCCACGUGUAGCAGUGAAAUGCGUAGAGAUGUGGAGGAAUACCGAUGGCGAAGGCAGCCCCCUGGGAUAACACUGACGCUCAUGCACGAAAGCGUGGGGAGCAAACAGG
rnacentral:rRNA from 1 species